rnacentral:rRNA from 1 species
AAAAGCUCGUAGUUGGAUCUCAGGCCGUGCCGGGCGGCCCGCCCCUCGGGCGGUGUUCGCACGCGCCGGUCAUAGAAGCCGGUUACCCCUCGUGAUCUUGAUCGGUCGCGUGGGGCGACCGGCACGUUUACUUUGAAAAAAUUAGAGUGCUCAGAGCAGGCGAGACGCCUGGAUAAUGGUGCAUGGAAUAAUGGAAUAGGACCUCGGUUCUAUUGAGUUGGUUUUCUGAACCGGAGGUGAUGACGAAGAGGAACAGUCGGGGGCAUUCGUAUUGCGACGCUAGAGGUGAAAUUCUUGGACCGUCGCAAGACGAACGACUGCGAAAGCAUUUGCCAAGAAUGUUUCCAUUAAUCAAGAACGAAAGUCAGAGGUUCGAAGGCGAUCAGAUACCGCCCUAGUUCUGACCGUAAACGAUGCCGACCAGCGAUCCGCCCGAGUUCCUCAAAUGACCGGGCGGGCAGCUUCCGGGAAACCAAAGUUUUUGGGUUCCGGGGGAAGUAUGGUUGCAAAGCUGAAACUUAAAGGAAUUGACGGAAGGGCACCACCAGGAAUGGAGCCUGCGGCUCAAUUUGACUCAACACGGGAAAACUCACCCGGCCCGGACACCGAAAGGAUUGACAGAAUAAGAGAUCUUUCUUGAUUCGGUGGGUGGUGGUGCAUGGCCGUUCCUAGUUGGUGGAGCGAUUUGUCUGGUUAAUUCCGAUAACGAACGAGACCCCAGCCUAUUAAAUAGGCGUUCGGACCGUCGAGUCCGACGUUCUUCUUAGAGGGACAAGCGGCACCCUAGCCGUGCGAAACGGGGCGAUAACAGGUCAGUGAUGCCCUUAGAUGUCCGGGGCCGCACGCGCGCUACAAUGAAGGAGUCAGCGUGCGGUCUCCCGGUCCGGAAGGACCGGGUAAUCAUCGGAAACUCCUUCGUGCUGGGGACAGGGGCUUGUAAUUGUUCCCCUCGAACGAGGAAUUCCAAGUAAUCGCGAGUCAUUAUCUCGCAGUGAUUACGUCCCUGCCCUUUGUACACACCGCCCGUCGCUACUUCCGAUCGAACGAAUUAGUGAGGUCCUUGGACCGGCGCUCCCGGCCUUCCAAUGAAAGUCGGUCCGGCGAGCUCGCCGGAAAGCCGACCGAACUUGGUCGUUUAGAGGAAGUAAAAGUCGUAACAAGGUUUCC